rnacentral:tRNA from 1 species
GGGGUUGUAGCUCAGUGGUAGAGUGCUUACCUAGCAUGUGUGAGGCACUGGGUUCAAUUCUCAGCACCA